GUGCCAGCAGCCGCGGUAAUUCCAGCUCCAAUAGCGUAUAUUAAAGUUGUUGUGGUUAAAAAGCUCGUAGUUGAACCUUGGGCCUGGCUGGCCGGUCCGCCUCACCGCGUGCACUGGUCCGGCCGGGCCUUUCCCUCUGUGGAACCCCAUACCCUUCACUGGGCGUGGCGGGGAAACAGGACAUUUACUUUGAAAAAAUUAGAGUGCUCCAGGCAGGCCUAUGCUCGAAUACAUUAGCAUGGAAUAAUAAAAUAGGACGCGCGGUUCUAUUUUGUUGGUUUAUAGGACCGCCGUAAUGAUUAAUAGGGACAGUCGGGGGCAUCAGUAUUCAACUGUCAGAGGUGAAAUUCUUGGAUCAGUUGAAGACUAACUACUGCGAAAGCAUUUGCCAAGGAUGUUUUCAUUAAUCAGGAACGAAAGUUAGGGGAUCGAAGACGAUCAGAUACCGUCGUAGUCUUAACCAUAAACUAUGCCGACUAGGGAUCGGACGGUGUUAUUCAUGACCCGUUCGGCACCUUACGAGAAAUCAAGGUGCUUGGGCUCCAGGGGGAGUAUGGUCGCAAGGCUGAAACUUAAAGAAAUUGACGGAAGGGCACCACCAGGGGUGGAGCCUGCGGCUUAAUUUGACUCAACACGGGGAAACUCACCAGGUCCAGACACAAUAAGGAUUGACAGAUUGAGAGCUCUUUCUUGAUUUUGUGGUGGUGUGCAUGGCCGUUCUUAGUUGGUGGGGUGACUUGUCUGCUUAA
rnacentral:rRNA from 1 species